rnacentral:rRNA from 1 species
UUAAGCGACUAAGCGUACACGGUGGAUGCCCUGGCAGUCAGAGGCGAUGAAGGACGUGCUAAUCUGCGAUAAGCGUCGGUAAGGUGAUAUGAACCGUUAUAACCGGCGAUUUCCGAAUGGGGAAACCCAGUGUGAUUCGUCACACUAUCAUUAACUGAAUCCAUAGGUUAAUGAGGCGAACCGGGGGAACUGAAACAUCUAAGUACCCCGAGGAAAAGAAAUCAACCGAGAUUCCCCCAGUAGCGGCGAGCGAACGGGGAGGAGCCCAGAGCCUGAAUCAGUGUGUGUGUUAGUGGAAGCGUCUGGAAAGGCGCGCGAUACAGGGUGACAGCCCCGUACACAAAAAUGCACAUGCUGUGAGCUCGAUGAGUAGGGCGGGACACGUGGUAUCCUGUCUGAAUAUGGGGGGACCAUCCUCCAAGGCUAAAUACUCCUGACUGACCGAUAGUGAACCAGUACCGUGAGGGAAAGGCGAAAAGAACCCCGGCGAGGGGAGUGAAAAAGAACCUGAAACCGUGUACGUACAAGCAGUGGGAGCACGCUUAGGCGUGUGACUGCGUACCUUUUGUAUAAUGGGUCAGCGACUUAUAUUCUGUAGCAAGGUUAACCGAAUAGGGGAGCCGAAGGGAAACCGAGUCUUAACUGGGCGUUAAGUUGCAGGGUAUAGACCCGAAACCCGGUGAUCAGCCAUGGGCAGGUUGAAGGUUGGGUAACACUAACUGGAGGACCGAACCGACUAAUGUUGAAAAAUUAGCGGAUGACUUGUGGCUGGGGGUGAAAGGCCAAUCAAACCGGGAGAUAGCUGGUUCUCCCCGAAAGCUAUUUAGGUAGCGCCUCGUGAAUUCAUCUCCGGGGGUAGAGCACUGUUUCGGCAAGGGGGUCAUCCCGACUUACCAACCCGAUGCAAACUGCGAAUACCGGAGAAUGUUAUCACGGGAGACACACGGCGGGUGCUAACGUCCGUCGUGAAGAGGGAAACAACCCAGACCGCCAGCUAAGGUCCCAAAGUCAUGGUUAAGUGGGAAACGAUGUGGGAAGGCCCAGACAGCCAGGAUGUUGGCUUAGAAGCAGCCAUCAUUUAAAGAAAGCGUAAUAGCUCACUGGUCGAGUCGGCCUGCGCGGAAGAUGUAACGGGCUAAACCAUGCACCGAAGCUGCGGCAGCGACGCUGAUGCGUUGUUGGGUAGGGGAGCGUUCUGUAAGCCUGCGAAGGUGUGCUGUGAGGCAUGCUGGAGGUAUCAGAAGUGCGAAUGCUGACAUAAGUAACGAUAAAGCGGGUGAAAAGCCCGCUCGCCGGAAGACCAAGGGUUCCUGUCCAACGUUAAUCGGGGCAGGGUGAGUCGACCCUAAGGCGAGGCCGAAAGGCGUAGUCGAUGGGAAACAGGUUAAUAUUCCUGUACUUGGUGUUACUGCGAAGGGGACGGAGAAGGCUAUGUUGGCCGGGCGACGGUUGUCCCGGUUUAAGCGUGUAGGCUGGUUUUCCAGGCAAAUCCGGAAAAUCAAGGCUGAGGCGUGAUGACGAGGCACUACGGUGCUGAAGCAACAAAUGCCCUGCUUCCGUGAAAAGCCUCUAAGCAUCAGGUAACAUCAAAUCGUACCCCAAACCGACACAGGUGGUCAGGUAGAGAAUACCAAGGCGCUUGAGAGAACUCGGGUGAAGGAACUAGGCAAAAUGGUGCCGUAACUUCGGGAGAAGGCACGCUGAUAUGUAGGUGAAGCGACUUGCUCGUGGAGCUGAAAUCAGUCGAAGAUACCAGCUGGCUGCAACUGUUUAUUAAAAACACAGCACUGUGCAAACACGAAAGUGGACGUAUACGGUGUGACGCCUGCCCGGUGCCGGAAGGUUAAUUGAUGGGGUUAGCGCAAGCGAAGCUCUUGAUCGAAGCCCCGGUAAACGGCGGCCGUAACUAUAACGGUCCUAAGGUAGCGAAAUUCCUUGUCGGGUAAGUUCCGACCUGCACGAAUGGCGUAAUGAUGGCGCUGUCUCCACCCGAGACUCAGUGAAAUUGAACUCGCUGUGAAGAUGCAGUGUACCCGCGGCAAGACGGAAAGACCCCGUGAACCUUUACUAUAGCUUGACACUGAACAUUGAGCCUUGAUGUGUAGGAUAGGUGGGAGGCUUUGAAGUGUGGACGCCAGUCUGCAUGGAGCCGACCUGAAAUACCACCCUUUAAUGUUUGAUGUUCUAACGUGGACCCGUAAUCCGGGUUGCGGACAGUGUCUGGUGGGUAGUUUGACUGGGGCGGUCUCCUCCUAAAGAGUAACGGAGGAGCACGAAGGUUGGCUAAUCCUGGUCGGACAUCAGGAGGUUAGUGCAAUGGCAUAAGCCAGCUUGACUGCGAGCGUGACGGCGCGAGCAGGUGCGAAAGCAGGUCAUAGUGAUCCGGUGGUUCUGAAUGGAAGGGCCAUCGCUCAACGGAUAAAAGGUACUCCGGGGAUAACAGGCUGAUACCGCCCAAGAGUUCAUAUCGACGGCGGUGUUUGGCACCUCGAUGUCGGCUCAUCACAUCCUGGGGCUGAAGUAGGUCCCAAGGGUAUGGCUGUUCGCCAUUUAAAGUGGUACGCGAGCUGGGUUUAGAACGUCGUGAGACAGUUCGGUCCCUAUCUGCCGUGGGCGCUGGAGAACUGAGGGGGGCUGCUCCUAGUACGAGAGGACCGGAGUGGACGCAUCACUGGUGUUCGGGUUGUCAUGCCAAUGGCACUGCCCGGUAGCUAAAUGCGGAAGAGAUAAGUGCUGAAAGCAUCUAAGCACGAAACUUGCCCCGAGAUGAGUUCUCCCUGACUCCUUGAGAGUCCUGAAGGAACGUUGAAGACGACGACGUUGAUAGGCCGGGUGUGUAAGCGCAGCGAUGCGUUGAGCUAACCGGUACUAAUGAACCGUGAGGCUUAACCU